CGGGUGGUAGCUCAGUCAGUAGAGCGCUCGUCUUCGGGACGAGAGGUCGGAGGUUCAAAUCCUUUCCACCCGA
rnacentral:tRNA from 1 species